AUACCGGGCCUUUUUGGGCUUGGUAACUGGAAUGAGGGAGAGUUAAACGGACCAUCGAGUAUCCAUUGGAGGGCAAGUCUGGUGCCAGCAGCUGCGGUAAUACCAGCUCCAAUAGCGUAUGUUAAAGUUGUUGCAGUUUAAAAGCUCGUAGUUGGACUUGUGUGCGCUGUCCGCGGGUGGCCUGCGCCCAAAAGGGCGUUUCGGUUCGGCCCCGGUGGCGCCUUGAAAUCUGCAGCUGGGGGGACGUUGGCCUUAACUGGUCGGCGACCGCACGCCGGCUGCUCGGUUACUGUGAGAAAAUUAGAGUGUUCAAGGCAGGCAUUGGGUGCAAUUGAAUACAUUAGCAUGGAAUAAUAAAAUAUGGCUCCUGCCGUAUUUUGUUGGUUUUGACUGGUGGGAGUAAUGAUUGAUAGGGACGGUUGGGGGUGCUAGUAUUGAGCGGCCAGAGGUGAAAUUCAUGGAUUCGCUCAAGACUAACUUAUGCGAAAGCAUUCACCAAGGACGUCCUCUUUAAUCAAGAACGAAAGUUGGGGGAUCGAAGACGAUCAGAUACCGUCGUAGUCUCAACCAUAAACUAUGUCGACUUGGGAUCGGCGGUAGUUUUUUCAUUAAGACACUGUCGGGACCACGGGAGAAAUCAAAGUGUCUGGACUCUGGGGGAAGUAUGGUCGCAAGGCUGAAACUUGAAGGAAUUGACGGAAGGGCACCACCAGGAGUGGAGCCUGCGGCUUAAUUUGACCCAACACGGGGAAACUUACCAGGUCCAGAGAUGUAGAGGAUUGACAGAUUGAAGCUCUUUCUUGAUCACUUCGGUGGUGGUGCAUGGCCGUUCUUAGUUGGUGGAGUGAUUUGUCUGGUUAAUUCCGUUAACGAACGAGACCUCAGCCUGCUAGUGUAGUCGGCUGGAUUGCCUUUGGCGAUCCGUGAUUUCGACUUCUUAGAGGGACAAUCGACGCGCAGUCGAUGGAAGUUUGAGGCAAUAACAGGUCUGUGAUGCCCUUAGAUGUUCUGGGCCGCACGCGCGCUACACUGCUGGGCUCAGCGAGUUUUACUUGGCCGAGAGGCCCGGUUAAUCUUGUGAAAUCCCAGCGUGCUUGGGCUCGCCUCCUGCAACUGGAGGCGCCAACGAGGAAUUCCUAGUAGACGCAGGUCAUCAACCUGCAUCGAUUACGUCCCUGCCCUUUGUACACACCGCCCGUCGUUCCAUAAGAGUGAGGCAUCCGGUGAAUUCUCGGGAGAGCCUGGGCGUGGCCAGCAAUGGUCUGCUCGGGUUUGAACUUGCAUAAACUUGGUGCCUAUGAUUAGGG
rnacentral:rRNA from 1 species